GCUGGGCGGUGCCAGUACAGACGGUCUCCAGGAGAUUAACAGGGAAUAUGAUAUACUCGACUAGAAAAUCUAUUUCUACGGAAUAUCUUAAACAAUCAUUUCAUCCAGCAUGCUUCUCUUUGGCACUAGUGUGACAAAGGAAAAAUAAAACCUGUAUAAAUCUCAAUUAGAUGUGCUGUGUGUUGCCAUCUUGGACCAUGGACUGUAUUAAAAAAACAAGUCUCGGACACAAAAAUGGCAAGUGACGUUGUUGGUGAAUACCACUCAGCGGAAGAUGACACAUGCUUUCAUGGAAAUCAUGCAAAGCUACCAUCCAGGAGUCACAGAACUACAUUAUUGUACUGGAAAUGCAGUAUAACAGUGUGAUGUUUAAACACACUAAUGCAACAAAUGUGUAUUUUUAUACGAUGUACAUCUGUAUCUGACCAAUCAGAGUCUUAUUUAGAGUCACAGUUCUGUCUCAAAUAAAUUGCCUGGCCUGAGGUGCAAGCA